GGCGUAGAGGGCUCGCAGGCGGUUUCUUAAGUCUGAUGUGAAAGCCCCCGGCUCAACCGGGGAGGGUCAUUGGAAACUGGGAAACUUGAGUGCAGAAGAGGAGAGUGGAAUUCCACGUGUAGCGGUGAAAUGCGUAGAGAUGUGGAGGAACACCAGUGGCGAAGGCGACUCUCUGGUCUGUAACUGACGCUGAGGAGCGAAAGCGUGGGGAGCGAACAGGAUUAGAUACCCUGGUAGUCCACGCCGUAAACGAUGAGUGCUAAGUGUUAGGGGGUUUCCGCCCCUUAGUGCUGCAGCUAACGCAUUAAGCACUCCGCCUGGGGAGUACGGUCGCAAGACUGAAACUCAAAGGAAUUGACGGGGGCCCGCACAAGCGGUGGAGCAUGUGGUUUAAUUCGAAGCAACGCGAAGAACCUUACCAGGUCUUGACAUCCUCUGACAACCCUAGAGAUAGGGCUUUCCCUUCGGGGACAGAGUGACAGGUGGUGCAUGGUUGUCGUCAGCUCGUGUCGUGAGAUGUUGGGUUAAGUCCCGCAACGAGCGCAACCCUUGAUCUUAGUUGCCAGCAUUCAGUUGGGCACUCUAAGGUGACUGCCGGU
rnacentral:rRNA from 1 species